rnacentral:rRNA from 1 species
AUCCGGGAGGACCAUCUCCCAAGGCUGAACACUUGCAGCUACCGAUAGCGUAUAGUACCGUGAGGGAAAGGUGAAAAGAACCCCGGGAGGGGAGUGAAACAGAAACUGAAACCGUGGACCUACAAGCGGUCGGAGCCUUGCGAAAGCGGGGUGACGGCGUGCCUUUUGUAGAAUGAGCCUGCGAGUUGCGCUGCGUGGCGAGGUUAAGGGAUGGCAGUCCCGGAGCCGGAGGGAAACCGAGUCCGAACAGGGCGUUCCAGUCGCGCGGCGCAGACCCGAAGCCAAGUGAUCUAUCCAUGUCCAGGCUGAAGUCGGGGUAAGACCCGAUGGAGGGCCGAACCUAAAUCCGCUGAAAAGGGUUGGGAUGAGGUGUGGAUCGGAGUGAAAGGCUAAACAAACUUGGAGAUAGCUGGUACUCCCUGAAAUAGCUUUAGGGCUAGCCUUGCGUGGAUCGUGCAGGAGGUAGAGCGCUGAAUGAGUGCGGGCCCGUCACUGGGUACCAAGUUCAAUCAAACUCCGAAUGCCUGCACGCAAUGCGCGGGAGUCAGACGGCGACUGAUAAGGGCCGUCGUCGAGAGGGGAAGAGCCCGGACCGACAGCUAAGGUCCCUAACAUACGCUGAGUGGGAAAGGAAGUGAUGUUGCGCAGACAGCCAGGAGGUUGGCUCAGAAGCAGCCAUGCCUUCAAAGAGUGCGUAAUAGCUCACUGGUCGAGUAGCAACGCGUCGACAAUGUAGCGGGGCUAAGCGUAUGACCGAAGCUUCGGCGCGGGAGGAUUUGUCCUCCGUGCGGGUAAGGGAGCAUCGCAUGCACGGGCGAAGGGGCGCCGGAAGGCGUCCUGGACGGGAUGCGAGUGAGGAUGCAGGCAUGAGUAACGGAAAGACGGGUGGGAUCCCCGUCCGCCGGAAGCCUAAGGUUUCCUGGGUAAAGGUAAUCUGCCCGAGGGUUAGUCGGCCCCUAAGGAGAGGACGAAGGUCGUAUCCGAUGGGAAACGGGUCAACAUUCCCGUACCCUCUGCGGUUUCGAUGGGACGAAGCACACGGCAAGCGGCGGCGGAGCGACGGUUGUUCUCCGCCCAAGCGGAUGCGAGGGCGUCUGGAGCGCGCGAGGCAAAUCCCGCGCGCCAGCCCGAGCGGCGACGGCCACGGCCCCCACGGGGGCCCGAAGCGCCGGGCGCCGGGUGCCUGGAAACAGUCCCUAAGGCCAGGCCGCGGAGGACCGUACCGCAAACCGACACAGGUGGGCGAGCUGAGAAUGCGAAGGCGCACGGAAGAAUUCGCGUAAAGGAACUCGGCAAAAUGCAUGCGUAACCUAGGGAGAAGCAUGGCCCCCGCGGGAGCGGGGGCUGCAGAGAAAUGGCCCAAGCGACUGUUGACCAAAAUCACGGGUCCGUGCGAACCAGCAAUGGGAUGUAUGCGGACUGACCCCUGCCCGGUGCCGGAAGGUUAAGGGGAGGGGUUAGGCCCAAGCCGAAGCUCCGAGCCGAAGCCCCGGUAAACGGCGGCCGUAACCAUAACGGUCCUAAGGUAGCGAACUUCCCUGUCGAGUAGGUCGCGCCCCGCACGAACGCUGUCACGCGUGGGGCGCUGUUUCUACGCGACGUCCGAGGAG